rnacentral:rRNA from 1 species
GGGUUGUGAGGUUAAGCGACUAAGCGUACACGGUGGAUGCCCUGGCAGUCAGAGGCGAUGAAGGACGUGCUAAUCUGCGAUAAGCGUCGGUAAGGUGAUAUGAACCGUUAUAACCGGCGAUUUCCGAAUGGGGAAACCCAGUGUGAUUCGUCACACUAUCAUUAACUGAAUCCAUAGGUUAAUGAGGCGAACCGGGGGAACUGAAACAUCUAAGUACCCCGAGGAAAAGAAAUCAACCGAGAUUCCCCCAGUAGCGGCGAGCGAACGGGGAGCAGCCCAGAGCCUGAAUCAGUGUGUGUGUUAGUGGAAGCGUCUGGAAAGGCGCGCGAUACAGGGUGACAGCCCCGUACACAAAAAUGCACAUGCUGUGAGCUCGAUGAGUAGGGCGGGACACGUGGUAUCCUGUCUGAAUAUGGGGGGACCAUCCUCCAAGGCUAAAUACUCCUGACUGACCGAUAGUGAACCAGUACCGUGAGGGAAAGGCGAAAAGAACCCCGGCGAGGGGAGUGAAAAAGAACCUGAAACCGUGUACGUACAAGCAGUGGGAGCACGCUUAGGCGUGUGACUGCGUACCUUUUGUAUAAUGGGUCAGCGACUUAUAUUCUGUAGCAAGGUUAACCGAAUAGGGGAGCCGAAGGGAAACCGAGUCUUAACUGGGCGUUAAGUUGCAGGGUAUAGACCCGAAACCCGGUGAUCUAGCCAUGGGCAGGUUGAAGGUUGGGUAACACUAACUGGAGGACCGAACCGACUAAUGUUGAAAAAUUAGCGGAUGACUUGUGGCUGGGGGUGAAAGGCCAAUCAAACCGGGAGAUAGCUGGUUCUCCCCGAAAGCUAUUUAGGUAGCGCCUCGUGAAUUCAUCUCCGGGGGUAGAGCACUGUUUCGGCAAGGGGGUCAUCCCGACUUACCAACCCGAUGCAAACUACGAAUACCGGAGAAUGUUAUCACGGGAGACACACGGCGGGUGCUAACGUCCGUCGUGAAGAGGGAAACAACCCAGACCGCCAGCUAAGGUCCCAAAGUCAUGGUUAAGUGGGAAACGAUGUGGGAAGGCCCAGACAGCCAGGAUGUUGGCUUAGAAGCAGCCAUCAUUUAAAGAAAGCGUAAUAGCUCACUGGUCGAGUCGGCCUGCGCGGAAGAUGUAACGGGGCUAAACCAUGCACCGAAGCUGCGGCAGCGACGCUGAUGCGUUGUUGGGUAGGGGAGCGUUCUGUAAGCCUGCGAAGGUGUGCUGUGAGGCAUGCUGGAGGUAUCAGAAGUGCGAAUGCUGACAUAAGUAACGAUAAAGCGGGUGAAAAGCCCGCUCGCCGGAAGACCAAGGGUUCCUGUCCAACGUUAAUCGGGGCAGGGUGAGUCGACCCCUAAGGCGAGGCCGAAAGGCGUAGUCGAUGGGAAACAGGUUAAUAUUCCUGUACUUGGUGUUACUGCGAAGGGGGGACGGAGAAGGCUAUGUUGGCCGGGCGACGGUUGUCCCGGUUUAAGCGUGUAGGCUGGUUUUCCAGGCAAAUCCGGAAAAUCAAGGCUGAGGCGUGAUGACGAGGCACUACGGUGCUGAAGCAACAAAUGCCCUGCUUCCAGGAAAAGCCUCUAAGCAUCAGGUAACAUCAAAUCGUACCCCAAACCGACACAGGUGGUCAGGUAGAGAAUACCAAGGCGCUUGAGAGAACUCGGGUGAAGGAACUAGGCAAAAUGGUGCCGUAACUUCGGGAGAAGGCACGCUGAUAUGUAGGUGAAGUCCCUCGCGGAUGGAGCUGAAAUCAGUCGAAGAUACCAGCUGGCUGCAACUGUUUAUUAAAAACACAGCACUGUGCAAACACGAAAGUGGACGUAUACGGUGUGACGCCUGCCCGGUGCCGGAAGGUUAAUUGAUGGGGUUAGCGCAAGCGAAGCUCUUGAUCGAAGCCCCGGUAAACGGCGGCCGUAACUAUAACGGUCCUAAGGUAGCGAAAUUCCUUGUCGGGUAAGUUCCGACCUGCACGAAUGGCGUAAUGAUGGCCAGGCUGUCUCCACCCGAGACUCAGUGAAAUUGAACUCGCUGUGAAGAUGCAGUGUACCCGCGGCAAGACGGAAAGACCCCGUGAACCUUUACUAUAGCUUGACACUGAACAUUGAGCCUUGAUGUGUAGGAUAGGUGGGAGGCUUUGAAGUGUGGACGCCAGUCUGCAUGGAGCCGACCUUGAAAUACCACCCUUUAAUGUUUGAUGUUCUAACGUGGACCCGUAAUCCGGGUUGCGGACAGUGUCUGGUGGGUAGUUUGACUGGGGCGGUCUCCUCCUAAAGAGUAACGGAGGAGCACGAAGGUUGGCUAAUCCUGGUCGGACAUCAGGAGGUUAGUGCAAUGGCAUAAGCCAGCUUGACUGCGAGCGUGACGGCGCGAGCAGGUGCGAAAGCAGGUCAUAGUGAUCCGGUGGUUCUGAAUGGAAGGGCCAUCGCUCAACGGAUAAAAGGUACUCCGGGGAUAACAGGCUGAUACCGCCCAAGAGUUCAUAUCGACGGCGGUGUUUGGCACCUCGAUGUCGGCUCAUCACAUCCUGGGGCUGAAGUAGGUCCCAAGGGUAUGGCUGUUCGCCAUUUAAAGUGGUACGCGAGCUGGGUUUAGAACGUCGUGAGACAGUUCGGUCCCUAUCUGCCGUGGGCGCUGGAGAACUGAGGGGGGCUGCUCCUAGUACGAGAGGACCGGAGUGGACGCAUCACUGGUGUUCGGGUUGUCAUGCCAAUGGCACUGCCCGGUAGCUAAAUGCGGAAGAGAUAAGUGCUGAAAGCAUCUAAGCACGAAACUUGCCCCGAGAUGAGUUCUCCCUGAC